rfam:Parcubacteria (Nomurabacteria) bacterium GW2011_GWF2_40_12 TT78_C0018, whole genome shotgun sequence.
UUUGUAUCAAGAGUGGUGGUAGAGAAUUGGCUCGAUGACCCCACAGCAACCUGCAAUUGUAAGGUGCUAAAUCCAACCAGACACGCAAGUGUCAGGAAAGAUGAGUU